UACGAAGGGGGCUAGCGUUGUUCGGAUUUACUGGGCGUAAAGCGCACGUAGGCGGAUCGUUAAGUCGGGGGUGAAAUCCUGGAGCUCAACUCCAGAACUGCCUUCGAUACUGGCGAUCUUGAGUCCGGAAGAGGUGAGUGGAACUCCUAGUGUAGAGGUGAAAUUCGUAGAUAUUCGGAGGAACACCAGUGGCGAAGGCGGCUCACUGGUCCAUUACUGACGCUGAGGUGCGAAAGCGUGGGGAGCAAACAGG
rnacentral:rRNA from 1 species